GAAUUCGGCAAAUUAGAUCCGUAACUUCGGGAUAAGGCUUGGCUGUGAAGAUUAAGAUAGUCGGGCUUGAGAUUGGGAAGCAAUAAUAGGGUUUAUGUACUCGUUCUGAGUAAAUAGAGAUUUUCGGAUCUUGUUCCUCGGAUAGCAGUUACGUAACCAAUUGUGGAACUUUCUUGCUAAAAUUUUUAAGGGAUUAUCGCAAGAUAUAUUCUUUUUAAAUUAUAACGAUUAUCAAUUAACAAUCAAUUCAGAAAUGACACGAACUUCGAGAAUCCGACUGUCUAAUUAAAACAAAGCAUUGUGAUGGCCCUAACGGGUGUUGACACAAUGUGAUUUCUGCCCAGUAGUCUGAAUGUCAAAGUGAAGAAAUUCAAGUAAGCGCGGGUAUACGGCGAGAGUAACUAUGACUCUCUUACGAUCUUUCGCAACUUCCUUGUCCCAAAAUAUAUUGCUGUGUUGCAAACUCC
rnacentral:ncRNA from 1 species